UUCAACCGUGCAUUCAAUUUUUUUUCUCUGACUCUGUAUUGCUUUACCAUUGCGUGAAUUAUAUUUUUAUCCAGUUUUGCUCCUCUUGAUGAUUGGAAGUUAGCAUUGCUCCUGUUAGAGCAACAGUAUACCAAAGCAAGAACCAACCGAGCUAAGGAUGCUCUCUCUUGCUUUCCCAACAACUUCAGAAGAGAUUUCUGGAUCAGGUAUCAGGUCCAGAGCCUAUGGAGAGAAGCAACAUCAUGAUGCUGCUAUAUCUUAGUGGUCUUUCUUUCACAAUGGUGAUCUGCUUCUUAUCUGUUCUAGGUGUCACUGUCAUAGCUUGCUUGGCAUAACCUUCCUUCUUUUGAUGGUUGUCAACACACAUUUAAGUCACACAUACAC